CGCAGCGUGAGGCCAGCGGCGGCCGCCAGAGGCGGGGACCCCAGGCGGGCUCCCCAGGACGACCUUACCUGGGCCUGACCGCCACCCCACCGCGAGGGCGGGGAGUCCGGAAUCUCGGGCCUGAGCAAGUGAAAGUCCCAGUAGAUGGCUCCGGGUCGAAUCUUCACUCCUAAGUACCUGCACCUCCUUUCUGAAUCCUCGUUCUCCGUUUUGCCUUCUUCCUUCCCAAUCCUAAAUCUGGACCGAUCAGAGGAGAUAAUCUUGGAAGGAAAGUCGUUUCUUCAUAAAUAGCACCUUUCUGCGCGUCUGGGGCGAGUCACUAGAGUCAGGCCUAACAUGUCCAGCAAUGGAGUAAAUAGCAACUGGUGGAGCCAGGCCAGUGUGUGAACUCCUGGGCUUUCCAAGGAUCUCCACCUACACCACAACCACAUCCUG
rnacentral:lncRNA from 1 species